UCCAUCUGCAGUUUCCACAUCAAACAGUCAUCUUCAGUUAAGUCAUCAUAAAUCCUUUAUAUUUCUUUUAAGUGACCGACAAUCAUUUUGUGGUUCGGCAUGUUUGACUGGCAUCUGAAGGUUGAUCAUGUAGAGAUGUCUGAAGGAUUUUCUCGGAAAGUCAAAAACUAGGAUGAUCUUCUAAAUUACCAAGGUAAUCUGUUUGUAGUAGUUCUCUAGAUGUCAACUAUGACAGGGUAAUUCCAAUAUAUUGAUAUCCUUUAUUGGAAAAGUAGUUCUUAGUGUUGUUAUAUAUUCCUUUAUAACAUAAAUACAAUUGGAAUUUAUUUUUAGGAGUUGUCAGGAGAGAUUUGCUCGUUUGAAUGUGUGAUCUAGCUAAUAAAUAUCAUACUUAUGAUGCUGCUUUCUAACCAUGUAGUUUGCUCUUACAUAAGAGAAAUAUUAUCUAUGCAGCUGGAGCUUUGUCUAGUUGGUGUAGUUUAAGGUCAAGGUCUGAACUACUGAAGUAGUCUAGGGCCUUUUUAUCCAUGGUUCUGAUUGGUUUGUAAGAGCUGCUCGGUUUGGUUUCAGGAGCUGCUGUUGCUUCUUGCAAUUUAGAGGCUUUAGCAAGAUUGCAUCUGCAUCAUGGAAGUAGGACAAUUGAAUCCUAAAGAUCUUUGUAAUCUUAAGGUGGCUAUGGCUUGGAAUGAUGCAGUCUUUGUUGGAAAAAGGACAUAAGAGUAGAGGAACUUGGUUGAAUAUUAAAGAUGAUAUCCAACCUUCGGCACAAGGGGGAAAACUGAUGUAAAAGAAAGAGUGAUUGCCAUAUGCCAUGAUAUGAAACAGGGGUACCUCCUCUUUUUGAACGGAAUGUCCAUGCAAGCGUGAUUGUUGGGGCUCGUUUGGAGAUUGAACUUGGGAUAAGCAGAACGCAGAGAUUCACAUGGACUUUUAUCAGAGACCAAGCUUGGAAAUGAAGUCAGGCCUGAGUAAUUUAUCAGGUUAAACAAGAUGAUGAGACAAUGUUCAAGGACAAGAAAGGUAAAGUAUGGCUUUGGCUGACGAAGAAAGGGAUCCAUCUUUCUGCACUCCUCCAAGGUUCCAAAAGAUGGCUUUCAGGCUGAUGAAUGUUCUAUCUUCACUCAUAAGCAAGGUUCUAUGAUGUUCCCUGGCUAGUGGUGGCUCCAUGCUACAGUGAGCCUUGAACCCUAAGGCUGGUGUUAAUUAUUAAAAGGAUUAAAUUGAAAUCUAAACCAUUGUAAAUCCUACAUCACUGCCAGUUAAUCUUUUAGGAUUGCAGGCAGCUGGAUCUCAGGGGCCGAAGUAAAUGUGUUCCUCAUACAUUACGGAAACUAUGUGUGGCAUGGUGAGUUGUGAUGUAAGUGUUCAUCACUCAAAAGUCACAAGUUGAUAUGGCCACAUUGACAGUGUUUAUCUUCUUUCUUAUUCUUUAUGCGGCAAAAUCUGGGCUGGGAUGGUGCUUAAAUGAGUUAAAUGUUUCCAAUGAUUCAUGAUAAUUUUUUGCUUCGAGUCAGUUGUUUUGUUUGAAGGGCGAGACUUGAUACAAUGGUAAAGCUACUCAUCAUGAUCUCAAAAGAUGUUAAAUCAGGACUUUAGUCGAUCAUGUAAACUAUGGCCUAAUUAUGGAUCAAAUGAUAGAGAGAUGAUUUGUAUUUGUUG